UACGGAAGGCAGCAGUGGGGAAUAUUGCACAAUGGGCGCAAGCCUGAUGCAGCCAUGCCGCGUGUAUGAAGAAGGCCUUCGGGUUGUAAAGUACUUUCAGCGGGGAGGAAGGCGAUGUGGUUAAUAACCGCGUCGAUUGACGUUACCCGCAGAAGAAGCACCGGCUAACUCCGUGCCAGCAGCCGCGGUAAUACGGAGGGUGCAAGCGUUAAUCGGAAUUACUGGGCGUAAAGCGCACGCAGGCGGUCUGUUAAGUCAGAUGUGAAAUCCCCGGGCUUAACCUGGGAACUGCAUUUUGAAACUGGCAGGCUUGAGUCUCGUAGAGGGGGUAGAAUUCCAGGUGUAGCGGUGAAAUGCGUAGAGAUCUGGAGGAAUACCGGUGGCGAAGGCGGCCCCUGGGACGAAGACUGACGCUCAGGUGCGAAAGCGUGGGGAGCAAACAGGGAUUAGAUACCCGU
rnacentral:rRNA from 1 species